UACGUAGGGUGCAGGCGUUAAUCGGAAUUACUGGGCGUAAAGCGUGCGCAGGCGGUUUGCUAAGACAGGUGUGAAAUCCCCGGGCUUAACCUGGGAACUGCGCUUGUUACUGGCAAGCUAGAGUGUGGCAGAGGGGGGUGGAAUUCCGCGUGUAGCAGUGAAAUGCGUAGAUAUGCGGAGGAACACCGAUGGCGAAGGCAAUCCCCUGGGCCUGCACUGACGCUCAUGCACGAAAGCGUGGGGAGCAAACAGG
rnacentral:rRNA from 1 species